UCGCCUAAAAAAUCAGCCUUUCGCAUGCUUAAUUAUGCCUUUACCUAAUUUGCAUAUUGCUGACAUGCAAAUUAGGCAAAGGCAUUAAUUAAGCAUGCAAAAGGCUGAUUUUUUAGGAA